rnacentral:lncRNA from 1 species
UUAGCCGGUUUGCAUUUCAUUACAGAGGGUGUCACCCAUUGUGCAUCGGCACAGUGACAUGCAUCCUAUGAGGAUUCUCAGAUUUUGUACCAGAUUUAUGAAAGAAUGUUUCACUACCACUGACUUGAUAUUCCUCACAUUGCUGGCUGAACUCAUUUCAUUACCAGUGGAAAAGAAAGAAAAUUAUUUAGAACAAGAAGCCAUCAGCACCAUAAAAUAGCACAUGGAGAACUAAGGAAAAUUUUGCAGCCUCAAAGGAAGAACACUAUUGAAAGAAUAAGCAUGUUCCAACCAUAUGUUUUCAUGUAAUAGUUUACAAAUGUAUCCAACCACAUAAAAACUAAUAUUAGGCAUUCUGGCAG